rnacentral:rRNA from 1 species
GUAGGGAAUAUUGGUUAAUGGGCGAAAGCCUGAACCAGCAACGCCGCGUGCACGAUGACGGCCUUCGGGUUGUAAAGUGCUUUUUGGAGGGAAGAGGAAGGACGGUACCUCCAGAAUAAGUCUCGGCUAACUACGUGCCAGCAGCCGCGGUAACACGUAGGAGACAAGCGUUAUUCGGAUUUACUGGGCGUAAAGCGCGUGCAGGCGGUCUGACAAGUUGGAUGUGAAAGCUCCUGGCUUAACUGGGAGAGGUCGUUCAAAACUAUCAGACUAGAGAGUGGUAGAGGAAGGCGGAAUUCCGGGUGUAGUGGUGAAAUGCGUAGAUAUCCGGAGGAACACCAGUGGCGAAAGCGGCCUUCUGGACCAAUUCUGACGCUCAGACGCGAAAGCUAGGGUAGCGAACGGGAUUAGAAACCCUAGUAGUCC